UGGGGAGUAUUGCACAAUGGGGAAGACCCUGAUGCAGCAACGCCGCGUGAGUGAAGAAGUAUUUCGGUAUGUAAAGCUCUAUCAGCAGGGAAGAAAAUGACGGUACCUGACUAAGAAGCCCCGGCUAACUACGUGCCAGCAGCCGCGGUAAUACGUAGGGGCGAAGCGUUAUCCGGAUUUACUGGGUGUAAAGGGAGCGUAGACGGUAAAGCAAGUCUGGAGUGAAAGGCUGGGGCCCAACCCGGGCAGCUGCUCUGAACUGAUUAAUACUGGAGUGCAGGAGAGGCAGGCGGAAUUCCUAGUGUAGCGGUGAAAUGCGUAGAUAUUAGGAGGAACACCAGUGGCGAAGGCGGCUUACUGGACGGUAACUGACGUUGAGGCUCGAAAGCGUGGGGAGCAACAGGAUUAGAUACC
rnacentral:rRNA from 1 species